rnacentral:lncRNA from 1 species
CGACUUCCCGGACGCGUCCAGUCUCCCGAUCACCGUGAGAGUGCUGUUGACGAACUUCCCCGCCGUGAACACCAGCACCAGCGGUACCAGCAUCACCUCCUCCCGCAUUGAUACGUGGAAGCCCGCGCCCUGCACCCUUCCGAGGAAGGUGGAGCUUUCGUCGGGGCCGACCCUCAGCACGGUGUCGUAGAUCUCGAUGUUCCCGAAGGUGUAGGGGAGGCUCAUGUUCACCACGGUGACGGUGGUGUUGUCGGGACCGAUAAAGGUCUCGUGGAAGUAGACGCGGAAGUGGAUUCUCUUCUGGAUGCCGAGUUCGAACUCGGAGGUGACCGGGAAGGCCGUGGCAGCAGCCUGGAGGAGGAAGAAGACGAGGAGGAAGUAGAGAUGAGUGGAGCUGUGUGGGGAUGAAGCCAUGGCUAGGAUGACACAAGGAUCGAAGUGAGGUGGGUACAACGCUGGAUCAGGAACAUGUGUUUAUAGAGUAAUGUCUGCGCCAUGCGUCGUUGACAAAUACCAACUUUCAUAAACAUGUAAACACCAUGCCACACGGAGAUGGAAGAUGGAAGAUGGAAGUAAUAUAGAUAAUCUUGAGCAAUGAAGAUGGAUAACUGAGAGAUCGAUGAUAGUUGCAAGCAGUGGCCAAUGAGGAUAGUGUUGCGUCUUCUGCUAGUGUCAACUGGCCACAUGUAACUCAUGAAUUUGUCUUUUUCUUAACCAACCACAUCGUUCGAUGAUAGUUGCAAACGUUGACAUAAUGCAUGUCAACGUUUCCAUGUGAAUAACACCCACAUAAUCCUUCACCUAUCAAAGGUGUGAUCGGUUGACAAAGUUCAUCAUUAUUAUGUAAGGUACAUUUAUAUUAGAGGAUCGUCAAAUGCCAGUGCAUGUCAUGGUACUUUUCAAUGUGCAUAAUUGACACAAACUGUGUGGAAUCUCUCCCUCUUACUUGCCCCUUCACACAAUGCAUUUCUUUAUCAACAUAUGUUUGCUUCACCUGAGUCAACUGUUCAUGUGAUCCACACUAAAGCCUCCGUCGGUUCAGCAAAAUCGGCUAAUUGUCGUUACUUAAUGUUGAAAAUUGAUAACAAGUCUUUGUAAGACUAUCAAUUAAGAAUUUUGCACAUUUAGUCUCAAGUUGAUUAGAGAUUUAAAGAGUCAAUAGCUAAUGAAGAAUCAAAUAUCUUGAAAGGCAAAGAACCGGUCCUACUUAACAAUUUAUUAACAUUAAAAGAGCUCAAGAUUAAUGUUUUUUUUUAUUGAGGUAAAUAAUUUGUGAAAAAUAAGAGUAUUAUUUUAGACAAAAUAAGUAGUAAAAAAGAGGAUCAAAUUGAUUAACGAAACGUGGCAUGUCCACGAAUCUUAAAGCAUCAGAUUGCAUCAGUAACUAGCGACCACCAAAGCAGUCUCCACGGUGAGAAGGGGGAAAUGACGAUGUGAAGAAUCGCAGAGGCGGCUCUCCUCUUUGUCCUCCUCGGUGGCAACGAGCGCGAUUUGGUGAUCAAGGUCCGAUCACUUACGAUCCCUUCUCGUCCAAUUUUCCCAAUCUUGGUUAGAGUUUUAAUUUGAUGGAGUGCUUGACGCCGUCUUGUAGUUUUGAUGUCAAUUUCUUGGUGCGAUCUACUGUUCGAUCAGAAUCUUUGAUGGGUCCUAGCCGAUGAUCAUGCAACCUAGUUGCUCUAUGAUCAACGAAAACGAAACCUAAUAUUAUAGUUUCUUUUUCCUCUCAGUUUAGAUUCACUUCUUCCCCUUGAUCACGCAAGUAGUCGAAGCUUAACUGCAGGAAUUGUUCGAGUUUUUUUCACGUAUUUGAGCUUUUUGUGUCGUAACCUACUACGUUUUCUUGAUUUUAGACUGAACUAGGCUUUGCACUUGGUUGCUAUAUAUGCAUUCAAGAUAAUACUCUUGCCAUCAAAUCAUUGAAUUAUGUGGGGAUUAUUCAUCGAACAGAUUCCCUUUAAGUCGCAUAGUCUUUUGUUCCUUUCCCUGGUUCUGUUGCUUGUUGCAUAUCUUAAGUACAUUACUGUUUCCUAUGUCUGCAUCUCAUGUAUUUCACGUUAUCCAAGCAAGAAAUUUGUCAGAUGUGCAUGAUGUUCAACCAAUUGAUCUAAUAAACGCCAACUUUAUCUACACAUCAAUUGAAAGAAAAGAACAUCUUAUCAUUAUUCCAGUUUCACAGCUAGAAAGUAGUGAUGCAUCUGAAACUGUAGCUGUAUGUGAAAAUUUCGGCAAGUCAGGUAAAAGAAGUAAGUAUUAAGAAGGAAAUGUAUUGGUACCCCUUCCAAUAAGGAGAUAAUAGUUAAACAAGUUGCUAUCGAUUAAACUUAUGGGUCAUAUAAUUUAGACCUUUUUAGGUCUCGUCUACAUUGUUAGUUGUUAUCAAGGAAGUAACUAGCAAUUUAUUGUGAUUCAUGAAUUCCUUUGCAUAGGAUGGAUUUAAUAAUGUUGCAUGAGUAAGGCUUUCUGCAUUAUGGCAUGGCUCAUGUUGAUAAUAUGCGGGCACAUAAAAACUACUGUAAGGGUCUACUUACAGAACCUUAUAGGAAGAUGUUUUGGAUAAUGGCUACAUGCAAUUAGUGGUGUUAAGGAAGGGACCUAUUUUUGGGUUGAUUACAUUGUAACAUUGCAGUGCCUUUAAAUUAGUAAGCUGCAAUAUAGAGAUUAAUAAGGGAACGUUGUGUACUCUUCUGAACCAAAUGAUGUUGUAUUUCUUCUUAUUUGGAGGUUUCAAGUUUCUUGAUUGAGUUUCAUUUUGUUGUAGUCUUUAUCUAAAUUUGACUCUUAAAAACCUCGAGUAAUUUAGUGAAUGUUGUUGGAUAAUGCUUCAAUCAUAGUUGGUGUGUUGCCAUCUAUAAUUAACUCCAGAUGACUAGAAGACGGGAGGAACUAAAAGACAAUCAAGUAAAAUGUUGGUAAACAAAACUUAAUAGGUACAAAGGCAUUUUAGUUUUUAGGUUGUUCAUUUAGUUGAUGUCACAUGGAAUAUCAUGUCCACAUCCACAAACUAUGUUUGUUUGUAGAGAGUACCUGUGCCAUUUAUUAGAUUCUACCCAACUAUCAUGUGACAAUAACAAUAUAAAAGGUUGAUUUUUUUAAUAUAUAGCGUCCUCAGAUUUGUCCAAUGAUGCAACUCAAAUUAGAUGAUUUUUGGCGACUUGAAACUUCAAAUACGUCUGCUUGAGUACCAUGGGUGCCAGCAGCAUUAUCUAGGCCAGUUUCACAUCAAUUUUAAGAGUAGCUGGAUGAUGAUAAAUUAAACCAUAUCAUCAAGACUCCUGCUUCUGUGUAUUGUAGUUUUAUUGAUCCUGAUCUUCCAUUAGAAUUUUAAGACUCAUGCAUGCGAAUACAUCAGAACGUCCUUUAAUUGAUGAAUUCUUUACCUCUGUCUUGACGAGCAGUUUCACCAGGAAUCAAACUAAUGGUGCAUGGCCUGAAGAAUGUAUGGGGAUCAAUGCGUGCAGUAGUUUCCACAGCAUGUGAGUUUAUGGUACUAACAUCAAAAGGAGCCGCUGAUGAGAAUAUUGUAGAGCAAAGACUGCUCAAGGAGCUGUGCAAACAUGGCUUUUAAUAAAAUUGACUUGGAUAGGGAGUUUUCUUGGGCUAAAAGAUUAUGACCUGUAGCAGUCCAUGGAUGAGCUUUUUGGUUGUGUAUGAUGAAUAGAUUUUUGCCUUGAGAGCAGAGCUUCAGGUUCUCGUUAGCCUGUAACUCCUUGCUUCUUUUAUCACAUGCUUUAGUGAUCCUCGAUGCCUGCAAGAUUACUGAAACUAAUAUUUGAGAUUGGUAGCCCAAUUUUUUCUCUCUCCAGUGGGUAGUUCAUUUGGUACCCUAUGGACUCGGUAUCUUUCCUUGCUUAUCCCGUAGCAGCAGCGGAAAUUUUGGUAGGAGAAGCUUUAGAUUGACUUUGUUUUCUCCAGUUUGUGGUACAAAUAUCAUUAUCUGAUGUGGUGUCUCUUGAGAUUGAUGUGGCAGGUUCUAAAUCUUACCAGGUAUUAAAGGAUUGUGGAUGUUACUUUUUCUUCUUUUUGAUUCCGUUGAAAUCUUUUGGUAGGUUGUAACUCACAGACGGAGAUUGAGCCGCAGCAAAUUGACUUGAAGAGCAUCAUCAUGGCAGCAACUGGGCUUGGACUUGUUUGAGGGAAGGUCACUUGGACUGGUAUGCUACUUAGCCCAAUCCAAUUGUUUGGUUACCGCAAAGCUCACUGGUUCAACAGAGAUGCAUACUAUUUCACGAGGGAUUACCUUGUUUAACUUUUGCUCCUAAGCCAUACAACACCAACGCUAACAGCUGAAGAAGAAUAUUUGGGAGUCUCAAUUAGAUCUUACAGAUCGUGUUCUCCCCUUCUGCUGCUUAGGAGGAUGGCGACGAAGCUGAGGCCAGCGCAGCCGCCGGUGACGAGGUUGCCCUCGCGGACGAGGAUCUUGAGGGCGACGGCGCUGAUGUCGGCGGUGAUCCGCCGCCCCUCCAUCACCAGCGCCCGCCACGGCUUCCCGGCGAAGGCGAGCAGCACCAGGACGGUGCAGCACGUGACCAGCGUCGCUGGCACCGCCACCGGUAGCGCUGCCCCCACGGACAACAUCCCGAACAACUCUCCGUACUGAUUGUGUAAAUGUAAAGACAAAGUUUGAUUGAAGCUUAUUAACAUGUUCCCUGGGGGGAGGAUUUUCAGAGCAGUGAGAUUUCCUCGUGCAAUCGGAGAAAUCUUAUUUGCUAUCACAUACAGCACCGACGUAUACAACCUCGACGACCAUGAUGAUGAGGAGGACGAGGAGGAGGCGACGAUGUUGUACCAGGAAUGGAUGGCAAGGAGGAGGCCCCAGGAGCAAUGAAGGAGGAGGGUGUAGAAGAGGAGAAAGAGGUAGACCCAUGUCCGCCUCUUGUUCGUAACUCUGGUAUGUCCGCGGUCGCCCUUGGAUGCUUGUUUCUCAUGGCCAGUGCUGCAGUUGCUGUUGCAGAAGAAGUGGAUGUGUAGCAGAAGCAAAAGUAAGUCCAACUCUGCUUGUGUCUCUGAGUUUCCCACCUUAGUCAAGCCAGCUGAAUAGCCUACUCACUUUUUUUAAUUUUUAUUAUUGUUUUAUCAUUUUUUAGAUGAAUGAUAAUAUUUAUAUAUGAAAAGAUAUUUUAUCUCAUUAUUUUACUUAAUAUUUUAAUAUUUAUAUCGAUAUUGGACUAACGGGAGAUGCCUUGCUCGGAUAGAAUAUAUCUAAGGGGGGAUAUAUAUAACUGAUAAGGGUAAUAAUUGUAAUAAGACUCACGUGACAUCAGCUGCAUCAGGUGACGCAUCACGCCUCUGUUGACUUGAUGAGGCACCUGGUCAACGUGGAUCGGAACGCCUACCAAGGCGCAUUAACGCUCUGUUCAGGUUCGAUCCCUCACGCCACGCCAACGGCAACGUUAGACGCUACCAGAAGUACGGUCCCGCUCCCUGCGGGCCAGCACAUUAGACAACGGUAAUUAUCACUAUAAAAACCCUCGCACUCUGAAGGGAAAAAAAGGGGGGGAGGGAAGGGAGAAAUCCCCUAGGACCAUCCACUAACUUGAUCGUCAGAGGGAUCGGGUCGAGCUCCCCGACCCGACCUUUGUGUAGGUGCGAAGGCGGAGGUCGUCCACCAAAGGCGCAGGCGGGGGUUCCCUCCCGGUGAAAACAGCGACCUCGUCCCAAUCGGAACACCGUGAUCGGCCACCUUAGCAGUCGGGAGGAGCGUCCCAGGAAGAUCCCCGUCAUCCGGACCCGAACCAAACCGCGUCGGUCCCGAUGCCACGGCUUAAAGUUGUUCACACUAACACUAACAUUUCGAUGUUUGUAUUAUGUUGGGACAUUUUUUUUUCGGUGAGAUAGUGAGUUGAGUAUUUUUUAUCCGAUCAAAAAGUUAUUUGAUAUAUUUAUAUUAUUGGGAUCAAUAUAGUAUAGAUGGGUCUAAUUUCUCUUACAAAAAAGAAUACCAUGAUUUAAACAUUGGGACUGAAAAAAAAUCUUAUAAGAUGCAAAGUUCAAGCACUAUCUUGGGUGGUCAGGUUGGGAACUCAUUGGAAGCUCUAUUACCACCGAUUAUGUAAGGUUAAAUUAUUUAAUUAGAAAAUAUUUAUUUUGCAUGUCAUAUUGAUGCGAAACAUCAUUAUUUUCAAACUAAUUAUCUCCUAUUUAUAUCGAAUCCAGAUUAAUUAUCCAUUGAAUUGUACCUAAUUUAUAAGGAUUCGCUGAAGGUAAAAUAAGCUUGAGAUAAUAUAUGAGUUCCACCCUUAAAAGAGAUGAUGAUUGAGCAAUUAGUUUAUCCCUCUAACUAUGGAGUAGGUUGGGAAGUCGAUGAAGCUCGAAAGAGAGGAUCCUGAGCAAGCAAUCAACCAACCUCAGUGGUUCUUCACUGAAAGGAGGAAGCAACGUAAGCAACAUCUAUGGAUGAGAGCAUUUUUCAUAUUUUUAAUGGUGGAGAAUCCCCGUUGAUUUGAGUUGAAAGUGUCAACUAGAAAUAAUCAAUAGAUCAUGGUCGCUAAUAUCAAGUUAUCUCCGAUAACAUCAAAAUCUCACUUCAAUAAUAUCUUCCAUUGUAAGAAUCCAACCCACAACAAUUAAAUACAAGAAAUGUGAUAGGGAAAGAGAUCAACUUCAAAAUCUCUAUGAGAAUGAUCGUUAGAUUUAAUAUUAUACUGGAUAGUAAUUGUAAUACCCCAAUUAGAAGUGAUAUGGUGAUAAUUGUCCAUCAGGACUUCUUUUAUAUUCUCAUAAAACUUUUCAUUAACUCAAGCAAAGUUCUUCAUGAUGUAUCACAUGUUAUGAAUAGUAUAUAUAAAUAGGGGAUCGAUACAUGAACCACCAUAUAUUGGGAGGUACAUAUUACAUGACCCUAUAUUAGACAAUACAGGAUCUAUACCAAUUGGUAUUGAUUGAAAUCCAAUCAUUAUAAAUUUGUGCUGACAAUUAUAUUGGGAGGUUACAAUUGCUUUAUUUUAAAUGAUCAAUUUGAUUGUUUGAACUAUAGAGAAGGGGUUUUAAACCCUUUCUUCUCUCCUUUUUCUACCAAUUUCACUCAAUCUUUUCAACUCUUUCUCACUUAUAUCUUUUUCUCAUUGUCAUGUUUUCACUCUCUUAAACUCAUCAUAACUAUAAUUCAUGGAUUAGAACAAAUGUGAGAGGCUAAUUUAGAAGGAUUACAAGAAGAAUAUUUUGAUCGAGAGGUAUAUAUUAUCAUUCUAGAUUUUUAUUUAUAUAUGAGAUGAUUAAGCCUAUUCUAUGUUUAUUUAUACAAUUUGAUGGUGAUGUAUCUAGAGGAGCAAUCUUUUACACUUGUCAUCUAGAUUCAGGCUCGAUAAUGUACUAGUUAAAUUUACACUAUGCCAUAAUGGGGGUUGAGGAGGAGGAUGCGACAUGAUGACAUUUACUGAUGAGAGCUUCUUUCAUAUUCUUAAUAGUGGAGAAUCUCUCGUUGACUUGAGUUUAAAAUGUCAACAAUAAAGACUCCGCUAAUAUCAAGUUAUCUCUAAUAACAUCAAAAUCUCACUUCAAUAAUAUGUAAAAAUCCAACCCAAGACAAUCGAAUAUAAGAAAUGAGAUUGGAAGGAGUUUGACUUCAAAAUCUCUAUAGAAAUGAUGUUAGAUUUAAUACUAAACUAGAUAGUAAUUGUAACACCCCAAUUGGAAACAAUGUGGCAACAAUCAUUGGCAAGGGCUUCUUUCAUAUUCUUAAGGUGGAGAACCUCCUAUUAAAUCAAGUAAGAUUCAUUGUACCAUGAUAUACCAUCUGAGACAAAUGAUACAUAUCAUUCUGACAAGGGAUUAGCAUGCGAACAGUCAUAUAUCGGGUGGUACACAUUACAUGAUUCUAUAUCGGAUGAUACGUGAUCUAUACCGAUCGAUAACGAUUGAAAUUUAAUUAUUACUGACUUGUACCAAUCGGUAACAAUUGAAUUUUGAUCGUUAUCAAUCAAGAGCUAAGAUUGUCUUAUUUUAAAUGAUCAAUUUGACUAUUUAAACUAUAAAAAAUAUUUUUAUAUCCUUUCCUCUCCCCACUCUUUCAACCCAUUUCACUCGAUCUUUUUAACUUUUUCAAACUCUUCUCACUCACAUCUUUUAUCUCAUUCUUAUAUUUUUACUUUCUUAAACUCAACAAAGCUAUAAUUAUAUAUUAAAUCAAAUAUAAGAUGUUAAUUUGAGAGGAUUAAAAAGAAUAACACUUUAAUUAAGAUAUAUAUAUAUAUAUAUUUCUUUUUAAAUUUUAUAUUUAUAUAUAAGAUAAUUAAGCUUAUUCUAUGUGGUCAUGUCUAUACAAUUUUAUACUUGUCACCCAAGAUUUAGAUCAUGAAACUCGACGAAAUACUAGUUAAGUUUAUACACGGGAGGGAAGGGAAAAACAAUGGAUGAUUUUGAAUAGAUGUGAUAGAGUAUACAUGACAUAGAUAUAGAUCAAACCUCGUCAUAUUCACAACCAUUGUAUUGUGAAGAAUCUUAAGACUAAUAGUAGUAUGAUGAUAGUUGAUUAUUCUUUUCCAAGUAGUAGUAUGAUGAUCAAUCUUAUGAUAUAGAGCAACAGAUCAGUGACGAAAGUAAAAGUUUAAACAUUCAUAAUGCUCCAUACUAAUAUAUGUCAUAAUUGUCCUUGCCUCAGGAGCCAUCUACGUGGUUCAUGACGAUCAACUUAUAACCAUCACAACAUUGAUGUACCAUUAACAUACGAUGUAUGUAACACCCUACUUCUACCCUACAUGUAUAACUAAAAUAUGAUGUCAUAUUUUAAAUUUUUAUUACUGCUAUCAAUAGGAGAGUAGUGAAAGUAGAUAAUCUUAAAAUUAAAACAUGCUAACUUACUUAACAAAAUGAUAGGAUUUCUCCUAUAUAUAGUAUUUUGGACAUUUAUACAUAAUUAUAGCCUCUAACUAAGAGAAAAACAUAAAUAUAACAAGUCCAAAAUUUAUACACACAAAACACCUACAGAACAUCAUGCAUAUCUAAGCUGGUAUAGGCUUGCAUAUACUCACUGCUCUACCCAAUCACUUGGGUGGGGUAUUAGUAAUGAGUACACUCAAUAAGUAUAAGCCCUUAUAGCUUUAUUUAGGUAGCAUAUAUCAUAUCAUAUAUGUAAUAUUUUAAAAUUAUUGGCGUAAGACAUUUAAUGGAAAACUCCCUUAUCAUAUAACUUCUUUAGUAAACAUAAUCCCACAACAUAGCAUAUAUAAAAUAAAGAGUUAAAGUUCUACUUCAAAAUAAUUCAAAAUGCUUAUAUGCAAAUAUAGGAAGUAUAAUAAAUUCAUUGACUUCUAUGCCCUACAUCAUAAUAUAUAUUUGCAUUCCCAUAUCAUAUGUUAUUAUAAUAUAUACGUGCACUCUCACACUACACGUCAUAAUAUUUACAUACACUCCCACAUUAUACAUCAUAGCAUAUACGUGCAUUACAUAUCAUAAUAUAUUCGUGUACUCACGUACCAUACAUCAUAGAAAAUAUAUACACUCUCAUACCAUAUGUCAUCAUAUAUGUAUACGUAUAUGAUAUUUUUAUCAUAAUUCAUAUAUUUUUAGACUUACAAAAUAUAUACAUUCAUAUUUAACUAAUGCUUUGCUCAUGACAAUCCUAUCAUUCGAAAUAUAAUUUUUAAAUUGUAUUAUACAUAUGACACCAUUAUUUUAUAGUAAAUUAAACUUAUACUUAAUUAAACUUAAAAAUAAAGAUAUUAAUAAAAAAUCAAGUUCUUUAAUAGUCGAAUGUAUUAGGGAGUGAUACUCCUUGGAGCAAAAGGUCAUGAGAUGUUUUAAUUAAUAAUCCUACCUCUUGAAUUAUUGAUUUAUAAUAAUUUAUAAUAAUAAUUCAUAAAAAAAAAAUUGAUAAAAAUCUCUUAUAAAAUAAAUUAUACUCAUCCUAAUAAUAUAUGAAGUUAUUCCUUCUCCAUGGUAGCUAAAAUUCAAAUUGAAUUAGUGUCGAAAGAUUAGAGAUCCAUGGCAAAGUAUGAUGUCGUAAUUACAUAUUAAUUGCGUCAUACAAAAAGGUGAAACAUCGUUUGUGCGUUCUUAUAUUUGCUUCCAUGUAAAAUGCUUUAAUUACAUUAAAUUAUAUGUGACAUUGACACAUAAACACACAGUUUUUAUUUAUUUUAAGAAAAAGAUAAAGUACAAAGUGACAAGUAAUUAUAUGCGACAUUGGCACAUAAACACACAACAGAGAGAGAGAGAGAGAGAGAGAGAGAGAGAGAGGAUAUAUAUAUAUAUAUAUAUANNNNNNNNNNNNNNNNNNNNGAGAGAGAGAGAGAGAGAGAGAGAGAGAGAGAGAGGAUAUAUAUAUAUAUAUAUAUAUAUAAGGCGGAGAUUCUUCGUGUCAUGUAUUAAGCUUCGGUGACAUCUCGAAUCAUGCGAUGGCACUGUGAUGGAGGUCGUUGUAGUAGACGACGUAGACGUCGUAGGCGACGACGAGCUUCGCGACAGAGGACGUCACCGUCUCGGUCACCAGCUUCCCCCAUGCGUACUGGAACACCCCCGUCCCUCCCACGAUGGCCCGCUCCGAGUUCCCGGACGCGUCCAGUCUCCCGAUCACCGUGAGAGUGCUGUUGACGAACUUCCCCGCCGUGAACACCAGCACCAGCGGUACCAGCAUCACCUCCUCCUGCAUUGAUACGUGGAAGCCCGCGCCCUGCACCCUUCCGAGGAAGGUGGAGCUUUCGUCGGGGCCGACCCUCAGCACCGUGUCGUAGAUCUCGAUGUUCCCGAAGGUGUAGGGGAGGCUCAUGUUCACCACGGUGACGGUGGUGUUGUCGGGACCGAUAAAGGUCUCGUGGAAGUAGACGCGGAAGUGGAUUCUCUUCUGGAUGCCGAGUUCGAACUCGGAGGUGACCGGGAAGGCCGUGGCAGCAGCCAGGAGGAGGAAGAAGACGAGGAGGUGGUGGAAAAGAGAGGAGCUGUGUGGGGACGACGCCAUGACUAGGGUGGUGGAUGGACAAGGAACGUGAAGUGAGAAGUGAGAUGAGCACAACAAUAAGAGGGAAAGUGUCUUUAUAGAGCAUUGGCUUAUGGCUCUGUCAUCAUCAUACAUAUCAUAUUUAUCACAGGUAAGUAUGAUGUACACAUCAUCAUAUUAAUAUUUAAGAGAUUAAAAUUAAAUAAUAUUUUGAAUCCUUAAUAUUCGAUAAAUAAGUCUUUUAGAUGUAAGAAUAUCUCAAAUAAAUUUUUGAAUAAUCAACCUUUGAUAAGUGGAUCAUCAUUAUAUUUAUACACGGAAAUGAAUCAUUUACAAUUAAUUAGACUUUGACAUGUUAAACUCAAUCAAUUCAUGAACUAUUAUUGAAAAUAUUUAUGGGUAUACGAUUAGAAAAAUAAGCUUAUAUGACUAAGGAUUGAAAGAAUCAGAUAACAUAAUAGUUUAAGUCUUUGGAUUGAAUUAAUAUCUUACUUGAUAUAUAUAUUAACUCUGAUCAAUUUGAUUCAAACUCAUCAAUAGUCAUACAACUAUGACAUGAACAAGCUCUAAAUUGAAGAUUUAUCGGGCAAGCUUAUUGAACUCAUCCAAGAGUCUUAUGGGUGCUAUUCAAAACAAAAUUGGACAAUCGUAUCCUCAUUGAACUUGGAAGAAAUCGACUCGAGCCACGUUAAUUUAGAUAUUGAGGUUGGAUUCCCCUAGUUGGACAUCUUAGUCGAACCUCAAAGUCAAAAGUCAUUCCAUCUUCCAACUAGAGCAACAAGAAUUCGGAAAAAAAUAAUGAACCAAAUCGAGUCAAGUUCGCCGGAUCUAAGUUCGACCGAAUGGUGUAUUUGGAGUCCAUCCUUCCAAUGCGGGGGGAAGAAGAUGGCAUAAAAUGCAAUAAGCGAUGCAUAAUAACACCGGUGGACGCCCGGUGAUUACAGCAUACGGGCUCUCGAUCGGUAGGUGCCUCGCUCUCCGCCUUCAGCAAGCAACGUAGACGUACAGCGACGGCUCUCGGUCGGUAGGUGCCUCGAAUGCAGGUGUCGCUGGGGAGAUGGGUGAUGGAGGUCCAAAAGAUGAGGCCAUUGACAUGAUCGAUGUCGACUGUAAUCUUCUCAUCUUAGGACAAGAUCUUCCACCUCACGGUCUCGUACGUUGCAUGGUGGGUGAACGAGGAGGAAGCCAUCGAUCGGGCGUUGGUUUCCUCCGUACACUUAUCUUUUCUCCAUGCUGUAGCUGUCGGUGAUCACAUUUGUUGCAUGUGAUACACGUUUUCUUUUUUUUUUUUCACCUUUGUCGUGUACUCUAAUUCUGAAAGAACCAUCACUUUCUGAUCACUGUACAUGACUGUGAUUCUUGCACAGUCAUUGAUCUAUUUCUUCUAAUAAUUGACUAUGAUUCUUGCACAAGAGAACUCGUAAAGCAUGAAAAUUUGAUAUUAUUAAUUAAUUUUAAUAAUAAUUUUAUUUUUAAAGUAAACAAAUAAAUUAAAAGAAAAUGGAGAAUUGCAUAUUCUCCACUCUGUUGAUACCCCUAUUUACUUGAGAGGAGACCAAUGUAGUUUCUACAAUCAAGUCAAACUAGAGUCUAAAUCAAAACUAUGUAGACCUCCCUUCCAUCCCUCUAGCUAGGUCUCAUUCGGUGCCAACCGACACCAUCGAAACUUUAGCUCAGUUUGCUUAAAUGUUCAGCUAGUAAACAUACAAACAUAUCACUUUCCAUCAAUAUAAAAGUACAUAUAUAUAUUACAAUAAUAUGUGAUAUGAUAGUACACACAUAUGUUAUGAUAUAAGGCGUAGAAGAUCAUACAUUUUUUAGGCUUCCUACAUGUGCAUAUAAGUAUUUGAAUUAUUUCGAUAUAAAAUUUUACCAUCUUAUUGUAUAUAUAAUGUGUUGUAGGAUUAUUUAUACAUGCUAAAGAAUUUAUAGGAUGAUGUGUCUAUCAUUAAAUACUUUAUGUUAAGGAUUUUAAAAUAUUAUAUACAUGAAAUGAUGUGCUCACAUAAAUAAAACAAUAAAGACUUAUAUUUACUGAGUGAUUAAUCACCGUAGAUCAUAUUUUACAGAUAAAAAUAUUAGUAUCCCACUCAAGUGAUUGUAUAGGGAAGUAAGCACAUGUAAGCCCAUGCUAGCAUAGAUAUGAACGAUGAUUUUUCAACAUUUUAUGUAUAUAAAUUUUGGACAUAUUAUAUUUAUGUUUUUAUUUGGUUAAAUGAUAUAAUCAUGUAUUUAAAACAUUAUGGAUAGGGGAAACCCUAUUAUUUUGUUUAGUAAGUUAGCAUGUUUUAAUUUUAGGAUUGUCAACUUUCCAUUGUAGUCAUAUUGAUAUCAGUAAUUAAAAUUUAAAAUGUAACAUCCUAUAUUAAUUAUACAUGUAAGAUAUGGAAGAAACUAGAAGUAGAGUAUUACAUAUUCAAUGUUCUUGAUAUCGAAUCCAUCUAUGAUAGACUCGGUGAAAGGCUACAGUUACAUCCAAGUCAUCCUUUAAAGAAUCAAAAUAUAUAUUAACAAUUAUGAAAUGUGAAAGAUUUUUUAACUAAUAAAUUAACUAGAAAAAUUGAAUGAACGAAUGAAUGCCAUGUUUAUGGGAGGAAUAGGUACAUGUCAUUUUGUCAAGGCACGUGAUUUAUUUGGAAUUUAAUGUAACUUAUUCGCAUUAUGUUGAUUAUAGUUUGCGACAAAUGUAAAGAUUCCAUAUCAAAAAAUAAAUUCCGAUGUGCAUGUGUUAGAUCCCUUAUGAAACUUAAUUAUUUAUAGAGUGACUUUAACAUAUAGUAAAUAAGUUUGUAUCUAUGUAACUUGGAUGAUCAUAUUGUGAAAUAUACAAAUAAUAUCUCAAGUUAUUCCUUCUCCGUAGUAGCUAAAUUUCAACUACAUUUGGUGUCGAAAGAUUAGAGAUCCAUGACAAAGUAUGAUGUUGUAAUUACAUAUUAAUUGCGUGAUAGAAAAAGGUGAAACAUCGUUUGUGUGUUCUCAUAUUGCUUCCUUGUCCGAUAAUUUAAUCGCAUUAAAUUAUAAGCGACAUUGAUAGGUUGAUGUUCACAAAAACACACAACACUAACAUUAUGACCCAUCGACCAUUUUGUACCCACUUGAUUCAGUUUUUAGAAUUAUAUUUGUCUGUUUCCAAAAAAAAAUAUUUCUUUAUGUAGUACGAAGUAUUUUUUUGAAUUAUAGUAUAUUAUAGUGAAAUUUUUGACAGAUAAGCUCACUCUACAGGAGAUGAGAUUUUUACCUCAUAACACUCAUCGCUUAAUUCUUUCCAAGUAAUUAGAUCCUUUUCAUCAAAGCAUUCAUAAUCUUUUAUAUAUAUAUAUAUAUAUUAUUGAAUUGAGCUGUACAAUAUUAUUUUAGUUGAUCUUAUUAACAACUUUAUAGUGUGGUCCGAUGCAUAAUACUGCUACUAAUCCUAAAUAGGAGAAGAAUAAAUUUACUAUAGUCAUAUAUACCUACAGCUAUGAAAAAUAAAGCAUGUCACCGUACUGUGCUGCAAAAUAUCGAGGUUUGUAAAAGCUUUUCUUUCUCAAUAAUAAGAAGCUUUUCUUUAUUUUAAGAUAAAGAUGGAAGUACAAAGUGACACGUAGAAUAGCAUUUAUUUCAGCCUUUUGUUUUGUCCUUAUUCCAACCGCUGUCUUCAUGGAGUGACACCAUAGCCGGAGUUCUUUUUGUCGUGUAUUAAGCGUCGGUGACGGCAAGGUCUCGCAAUCAUGGGCUGGCACUGCGACCGACGUCGGUGUAGUAGAUGACGUAGACGUCGAAGGCGGCGACGAGGCCCUCGACGGAGGACGUCACCAGCUCGCUCGCCAGCUUUCCCCAUGCGUACUGGAACACCCCCGUUCCACCCACGAUGGCCCGCUCCGCUUUCCCGGACGCGUCCAGUCUACCGAUCGCCGUGAGUGUGCUGUCGGCGAACUCCCCCGCCGUGAACACCAGUACCAGCGGUAUCAGAGACGCCUCCUCCUGCUGCGACAUGUGGAAGCCCGCGCCCUGCGCCCUUCCGACGACCGUCGAGCUAGCGUCGGAGCCGACCCUCAGCACGGCGUCGAAGAUGUCGAUGUCCCCGAAGGUGUAGGGGAGGCUCAUGUUCACCACGGUGACGGUGGUGUUGUCGGGGCCGAGAAAGGUCUCGUGGAAGUAGACGCGGAAGUGGAUUCUCUUCUGGAUGCCGAGUUCGAACUCGGAGGUGACGGGGAAGGCCGUGGCAGCAGCGAAGAGGAGGAAGAAGACGAGGAGGUGGUGGAUAGGAGAGGAGCUGUGUGGGGACGAAGCCAUGACUGGGGUGGUGGAUGGACAAGGAACGUGUUAUACUUGGCAAAGAUUGACAAGUGAGAGGAGCACAAGGCUGGAGGAGGGAGAGCGUAUUUAUAGAGUAUUGGCUAUGUCAUCGUCGUGCAUAUAUCAUAUCUAUCAUAUUAGACGAUAUUUUAGACUCUCUUAAAAAGGUAAGUAUGUAAGCAUCAUCAUAAUAAUAUUUUAGAGAUUAACAUUAGAAAGGAUUUCAAAUCCUCAAUUCAAAGUUGAGUCUUUUAGAUGUAAGAAUACCUCAAACAAAAUUUUUGAAUCAUCAAACAAUAAGUGAAUUUUCAUCAUGUUCAAAGAUUAAAAUGAAUCAUAUACAAUUAAUGAGACUUAGCAUGAUAAAUUUAAGUAAUUAUUAUUGAAAAUAUUUAUGCAUGUGAGAUAAAAAAAGAUGAGCGAAAAGUAAUAUAUGACUAAAGAUUGAAGGAAUCAGAGUACAGAAAGUCGGUUUGACAAGUAACACCACGUUUAGCCUUCCUCUUGAACGCCGGUCUCGUUCCAAAAUCGCCGGACGGACCACUUCGCUCUCCGCCGACAACACGCAACGUGUAGCUUCGCUGGGAUACGGGUGAUGCAGGUCAAAGAAGAUGAAGCCAUCGACAUGAACGAUGUGGACUGUAAUCGUCUCCAUCCUCGUCUUCUCAUCUUAGGACUAUAUCUUCCACCACACCGAAUCAUUCGUUGUAUGGUAGGUGAACAAGGAGGAAAGCCAUCAUCCAUGGGACUGCUUUUGGUUGGUUAAUCCUCACACUAGCUUCUCUCGAUGCUGUACCUGAUGGUGAGGCUUCUUGUGCACGUUUUGUUUCCAAAAAAUCUGUCUAUUUUGUUGAGAAAAUAUUUUCAUCUUAAUCAGUAUAAAUAGGGGGAAAAUAGCUUCAAUGUAAAACAGUUUUUUCAAUAAUUCUUCUUGUCUUCUAUUCUUUCCAACAUGAUAUCAGAGCAAGUGAGAAGAGCGAGACUCCAUGGCCAUCGAAGCCUGUUAUUCACCACAUCUCUUACCUUUGUAGAGCAGAGAAGGGGGUGAACUCUUUUCCAUCGGACUCGCUUCCCUGUCGGACUCCCCUCUCCGUCCGCUGAUACCCCAGUCGCUGUCGUGACCACACCCGGCAUCGCAAUCAUGUGCGACCACAACAACGAGGGCCUGUUUUGGUGCGACUGGCUACUCGCCCUCGGCAGUGGAUCCCUCUCCAACCCUGUCCGCUCCUUCCCUCUUCUCCUCCAUGCGGCUUUCUUCUUCAUCGGCGUCGCCUGCACCGACCCUAAGCUCGGGUUAUCUACCGCCAUAUCAUCAUCUUCAUCAGGUUGUGAUCUAUAUCAAUCGCAGCCUGCUGCCUCGGUGUCAACUGUCGAUCCUUAGCUCCUACUAAGAGCUAAUCGCUACAGCUUCCUCCUACUGCAGCUUCCUCAUGUUGCAGCAUCGUUGUAGCUUCCUCCUCUGUUGCAGCAUCGUUGCGGCUUCCUCCUCUGUUGUAGUUUCUGCUGUAGCUUUCUCCUAUGCUGGAGCAUUGCUGCAACUACCUCCUUUGCUCCGACUUCCUCCUUUAUUACAUCUAUGCUGCAGCUACCUCUUCUACUAUAGCUUCCUCCUCUAUUGUAGCAUUACUACAGCAUCGCUGCAGCUUUCUCCUAUACUGUAGCUUCCUCCUCUUCUGUAGAAUCACUGCAGAUUCCUCCUCUGCUAUAGCAUCGUUGCAGCUACCUCCUCUUCUGCAUCUACCUCCUCUACUGUAGCAUGAUAGCAGAUAAGAUUUCUCUAACUAUAUGAGAAAAUCUAGAGUUGAGAGAAAUCCUCCCUCUUAAUCUGUAUAAAUAGGGAGAGAAUACCUUCAAUGUAAAAUAGUUUCUUCAAUAAUUCUUCUUGUCUUCUAUUCUUCCCAACAGAUAAAAAGGGAUGUGGACGAGGCCAUCAAAAGGAACACACGUCAUUUAUGAUUACUGCUCGCUGCUCUUUGUUACUCGCCGAUGUCCUCAUCCAUCAGUAUGAACUGGAUGAGAGAAUAAUAUUCAAAAUACUCAGUUAAUAUUUUUCUUACUAACAGGAGUUUCUAUAGCUCAUGAUUCAUAACUUUAUUUUUGUCCCUUGUAUAAGAGCUGAUUUAAGUUUCUGUAUAGUUUUAUCAAUCGUGUUUUUUAUGCUAGUUUUACUUAUGACGCUGAAUGGCUUAUCUUAAUUACUAAUUGAGCAUUCAUCUCAUUAAGCAUUUAAUUAGAUGACACAGGGCACAUGCUCACGGUCACUUAUGGCUCCUCUUGCCAUCCUUCACGUGCAUGAUAUAUAUAUAUAUAUAUAUNNNNNNNNNNNNNNNNNNNNNNNNNNNNNNNNNNNNNNNNNNNNNNNNNNNNNNNNNNNNNNNNNNNNNNNNNNNNNNNNNNNNNNNNNNNNNNNNNNNNNNNNNNNNNNNNNNNNNNNNNNNNNNNNNNNNNNNNNNNNNNNNNNNNNNNNNNNNNNNNNNNNNNNNNNNNNNNNNNNNNNNNNNNNNNNNNNNNNNNNNNNNNNNNNNNNNNNNNNNNNNNNNNNNNNNNNNNNNNNNNNNNNNNNNNNNNNNNNNNNNNNNNNNNNNNNNUUGGACGUCACCAGUUUGCUCACCAUGUUCCCCCACGCGAACUGGAACACCCCAGUCCCUCCCACGAUGGCCCGGUCCGCCUUCCCGGAGGUGUCCAUCCUCCCUAUCAACGUGAGCGUGCUGUCGCAGAAGUCCCCGGCCGUGAACACCAGCACCAGCGGUAUCAGCGACGACUCGUCCCGCUGCGACGCGUGGAAGCUCACGCCCUGCGCCCUCCCGACUUCAGUCGAACGCUUGGAGGGGCCGGUCCUCAGCACGGCGUCGAAGAUGUCGACGUCCCCGAAGGUGUUGGGGAGGCUCAUGUUCACCACGGUGACGGUGGUGUUGUCGGGGCCGAGAAAGGUCUCGUGGAAGUAGACGCGGAAGUGGAUUCUGCUCUGCCGGCCGAGUUCGAACUCGGAGGUUACCGGGAAGGCUGUGGCAGCAGCCAGGAGGAGGAAGAAGACAAGGAGGAAGUAGAGAUGAGAGGAGCUGUGUGGGGAUGAAGCCAUGGCUAGGAUGACCGAAGGAUCGAAUUGAGGUGGGUACAACGCUGGAUCAGGAACAUGUAUUUAUAGAGUAAUGUCUGUGCCAUGCGUCGUCAACAAAAGCCAACUUCCAACCAAAUCUCAUUAUCAUGUCUACAUAAAAAACCCAAACGAAUAUUACUCUUGCAGGCGAAGGUCUCAGCGUAGGGAAGAAGAUAGCAUAUGGUAACACGAUGUACACACCAUAUAGUCUUCUCCAUAUAUAUAUAUAUAUAUAUAUAUAUAUAUAUAUGAUGUCGAGCAAUGGAGAUGGGUAACUGAGAGAUGGAGGGAUGAUAGUUGCAAGCAAUGGGCGAUGAGGAUAGUGUUGCGUCUUCUGCAAGUGCCAACUGGCCACCUGUAGCUCGUCAAUUUGCUUGUUAAUUAACGAACCACAUUGGCAACGCUAUCUUUCUUAAUGUGUUUCACCACAGAUGUACGCGGUUGGCUGAUGGCUGUCGCUCCCGUUUGUUCGCAUCUUCGGUUGUUGACAUGUGGAAAUGAAGUGUCGGUUCCCAUGCGUGAUCGGUACCUCACCACUCCACUUCAAGUCGCGACGUAAUUAAUGACCGACGGUGCGAUGCAAAACCUUCACUCGCCAAUCAAGUCAUUCGUGACUCAUGUGGGGCCAUUAACCAUCUUUUUGCUCUACAGUAAUCAAAGAAAAGCUCACAUGAUGUGUUCUCAUAUCAGCAUACAAAUGAAUUUUAUGUGACUUUUAAUAUACAUACAUAUUCUCUCCUGUCAAAACAUAUCCUAAACUCAUGUUUAUUUUUACCAUUAUAUAUAUCAUCACGAGACCAAAAGACAAAAAGGCAUGGGAUAACAUAACGCAUGUCAAUGUUUCCAUGUGAAUCACGCCUACAGAAUCCUUCACCUACCGAAGGUGUGGUUGGUUGUCAAAGUUCAUCAUUAUUAUGUAAGGGACAUUUUUCUCAGCAUAUCGUCAAAUGCCAGCGCAUGACGUGUUACCUUUCAAAGUGCAUAGUUGACCCAUUCCGCGUGUAAUGUCUCCUACUUAGUUGUCCCUUCACGCAAUGCAUUUCUUUAUCAGUAUACGUAUACUUCACCUGUUCAUAGCAUCCAUAUUAAAGCUUAUGUAGGUGCAGCGAAAUUAGUUAAUCGUCUAUAAAUAGGAUAGAAAUGGAUAACAAGUCUUAUUAAAGCCAUUAAUUAAGAAUUUAGAAUAGAGAUAGUAUCAUAUUUGAUUUCACAUUGAUCAGAGACUUAGAGAAUCAAUACCUAAUACCUAAUAAAGAGUCAAAUACAAAUUUUCGUUUUUUGACAGACAACUUUUGGGAUCCACCUUAGGAAAGGAAAGAUCAUGUGGUCCCGCUUAACAAUUUAUGAUUCAAAAGAGCUCGUGAUUGAAUAGUUUGUGAAAAUAAGAAUAUUAUUUGGAUAAAAAUAAAUAGUAAAAAAAGGAUCAAAUGAUAUAUGGACACGUGGCAUAUUCACCGAUCUUUAAAGCAGCCGAUCGCACGAGUAGUAAGAACUACCAAAGCUCUCUCCACGAUGAGAAAGGGCAACGAAGGCGGGGGAGUGACGAUGUGAAAGAAUCAUAAAGACGAUUGUUAGCAACCCUUGUGGUCGAGGUGCCAGCGUGGUUCGAUCCAAUCCUAAAUGCGCUUGUCCACGUAGAUGCUCGAGUGAUGGAAGUGAGCAUUAUGUCGUGUUGAGUUUGAGCCUCGUCUAUCUCAAUAUAGUUUCUCUCUUGGUGAGUGGCCUGCUUAUUUAUCACCGGACACAGGUUAGGGUCGAGAGGAAGAUUUUUUGAUUUGACCCUUGCGAAAGUUAAAUUAGUGUUGGGUGAAGUAAGAGGGAGUUAAAUGCUCAAAGUUCUUCCCAUGAUGUCAAUUAUUGGGUUGACUUUUAUACAUGCGAACAAAGUUCUUCACUGCUUCAGUAUGAUAUUCGAUUUAUAGAUGAAAGGUUAUGUUUUUCUUCAGCUUCAUGUUGCUCAUGGUCCAAAGUGAACUUGCUAAAAGAAAAAACACUGUCAUGAUUAUGAUGGAAUAAUAUUUCAAACACUUAGAUUUUUAAUAUAAAAUUGUAUGUAUCUAAGAGCUGGUUGGAGAAUUGUAUAAGAUAUGUCUAUAGUUCAACGAGUUCUGAUAUUUUUGGAGUUUGUUGCAAUAGGAUUUUAUUCGUAAUAUUAAUAAACGAGAUCGAAUAAUUCUUUUUAUUUUAGCCUUAUUAUUUAUUCUGCAGACGUAAAGCAAGAUAAACAUUGUUAGCUCUUAUUUAAUUGCUGUAGCUUUCGUUAUCGUGUCUCGGAUCACGCGAUGGAAGUGAGACGGACGUCGUUAUGGUACAUGACGUAGACCACGAAGGCGACGACGAGUCCUGCGACAUCGGACGUCACCUGCUUGCUCACCACGUUCCCCGACGCGAACUGGAACACCCCCGUCCCUCCCACGAUGGCCUGGUCCGCCUUCCCGGACGCGUCCAUCCUUCCGAUCACCGUGAGCGUGCUGUCGCAGAAGUUUCCCGCCGUGAACACCAGCACCAGCGGUAUCAGCGACGACUCGUCCCGCUGCGACACGUGGAAGCUCACGCCCUGCGCCCUUCCGACUUCAGUCGACCACUUGGAGGGGCCGAUCCUCAGCACGGCGUCGAAGAUGUCGACGUCCCCGAAGGUGUAGGGGAGGCUCAUGUUCACCACGGUGACGGUGGUGUUGUCGGGCCCGAGAAAGGUCUCAUGGAAGUAGACGCGGAAGUGGAUUCUCUUCUGGAUGCCGAGUUCGAACUCGGAGGUGACGGGUAAGGCCGUGGCAGCCGCAAGGAGGGGGAAGAGGACGAGGAGUAAGUAGAGAUGAGAGGAGCUGUGUGGGGAUGAAGC